GAUGAACGCUGGCGGCGUGCUUAACACAUGCAAGUCGAACGGAAAGGCCCUGCUUUUGUGGGUUGCUCGUGUGGCGAACAGGUGAGUAACACGUGAGUAACCUGCCCUUGACUUUGGGAUAACUUCAGGGAACUGGGGCUAAUACCGGAGAGGAGCUCCUGCUGCAUGGGGUGGGUUGGAAAGUUUCGGCUUUUGGGUAUGGACUCGCUGCUUAUUAGCUUGUUGAUGGGGUUGGUGCUUACCAGGGUUUUGACGGGGACCCGGCCUGGGAGGGUUAACGGCCACAUUGGGCCUGAGAUAGGGCCCAGUCUCCUACGGGAGGCAGCAGUGGGGAAUAUUGCACAAUGGGCGGGAGCCUGAUGCAGCGAUGCUGCGUGCGGGAUAAUGGCUUUCGGGUUGUAAACCGCUUUAGACUGUAAUGAAGCGUGAGUGACGGUAAUGGGUAAAGAAGCACCGGCUAACUACGUG
rnacentral:rRNA from 1 species